CCUACGGGAGGCUGCAGUGGGGAAUAUUGGACAAUGGGGGGAACCCUGAUCCAGCCAUGCCGCGUGUGUGAAGAAGGCCCUCGGGUUGUAAAGCACUUUCAGUGAGGAAGAACGCCUGGUGGUUAAUACCCAUCAGGAAAGACAUCACUCACAGAAGAAGCACCGGCUAACUCCGUGCCAGCAGCCGCGGUAAUACGGAGGGUGCGAGCGUUAAUCGGAAUUACUGGGCGUAAAGCGCGCGUAGGUGGCUUGAUAAGCCGGUUGUGAAAGCCCCGGGCUCAACCUGGGAACGGCAUCCGGAACUGUCAAGCUAGAGUGCAGGAGAGGAAGGUAGAAUUCCCGGUGUAGCGGUGAAAUGCGUAGAGAUCGGGAGGAAUACCAGUGGCGAAGGCGGCCUUCUGGACUGACACUGACACCGAGGUGCGAAAGCGUGGGUAGCAAACAGGAUUAGAUACCCUGGUAGUC
rnacentral:rRNA from 1 species